rnacentral:rRNA from 1 species
GGCGGCGUGCUUAACACAUGCAAGUCGAACGAAGCACUUAAACCUGAUUCUUCGGAUGGAGGUUUUUGUGACUGAGUGGCGGACGGGUGAGUAACGCGUGGGUAACCUGCCUCAUACAGGGGGAUAACAGUUAGAAAUGACUGCUAAUACCGCAUAAGACCACAGAGCCGCAUGGCUCAGUGGGAAAAACUCCGGUGGUAUGAGAUGGACCCGCGUCUGAUUAGGUAGUUGGUGGGGUAACGGCCUACCAAGCCAACGAUCAGUAGCCGACCUGAGAGGGUGACCGGCCACAUUGGGACUGAGACACGGCCCAAACUCCUACGGGAGGCAGCAGUGGGGAAUAUUGCACAAUGGGGGAAACCCUGAUGCAGCGACGCCGCGUGAGCGAAGAAGUAUUUCGGUAUGUAAAGCUCUAUCAGCAGGGAAGAAAAUGACGGUACCUGACUAAGAAGCACCGGCUAAAUACGUGCCAGCAGCCGCGGUAAUACGUAUGGUGCAAGCGUUAUCCGGAUUUACUGGGUGUAAAGGGAGCGUAGACGGCUGUGUAAGUCUGAAGUGAAAGCCCGGGGCUCAACCCCGGGACUGCUUUGGAAACUAUGCAGCUAGAGUGUCGGAGAGGUAAGUGGAAUUCCCAGUGUAGCGGUGAAAUGCGUUGAUAUUGGGAGGAACACCAGUGGCGAAGGCGGCUUACUGGACGAUGACUGACGUUGAGGCUCGAAAGCGUGGGGAGCAAACA